GGCUCAGAUUGAACGCUGGCGGCAGGCCUAACACAUGCAAGUCGAGCGAGAAAGGUCUUCGGACUGAGUACAGCGGCGGACGGGUGAGUAAUGCGCAGGAAUCUACCUGGUAGUGGGGGAUAACUCGGGGAAACUCGAACUAAUACCGCAUACGCCCUACGGGGGAAAGCGGGGGACCUUCGGGCCUCGCGCUAUCAGAUGAGCCUGCGUAGGAUUAGCUUGUUGGUGAGGUAAAGGCUCACCAAGGCGACGAUCCUUAGCUGGUCUGAGAGGAUGAUCAGCCACACUGGAACUGAGACACGGUCCAGACUCCUACGGGAGGCAGCAGUGGGGAAUAUUGCGCAAUGGGCGAAAGCCUGACGCAGCCAUGCCGCAUGUGUGAAGAAGGCCCUUGGGUUGUAAAGCACUUUCAAUUGGGAAGAAAGGUUGCGUGUUAAUAGCACGUAGCUGUGACGUUACCUUUAGAAGAAGCACCGGCUAACUCCGUG
rnacentral:rRNA from 1 species